GAUGAACGCUGGCGGCGUGCCUAAUACAUGCAAGUUGAGCGCUAAAGCUUCUUCCUUCUGGCGACUGGCUGAGCCGCGCAGGGGAGAAUAACGCGUGGGGUAUCUCCUUUUGAGCGGGGGACACCUUUUGGACACGGAUGCAUAUCGCGCAUGACAAUUUUUUACACGCGAUUUUAGAUUGAUAGAUCCGAUUGGAUUACUCACAGAUCCUCUCGCGUUGUAUUAGCUAGUGGGUGAGGCCAAGGCUCACCCAGGCGAGGAUACAUAGCCGACCUGAGAGGGUGAUCGGCCACAUUGGGACGGAGACACGGCCCAAACGCCUACAGGAGGCAGCAGUAGGGAAUCGUCGGCAAUGGACGAAAGUCUGACCGAGCAACGCCGCGGGAGUGAAGAAGGUUGUCGGAUCGUAAAACUCUGUUGGUAGAGAAGAACGUUGGUGAGAGUGGAAAGCUCAUCAAGUGACGGUAACUACCCAGAAAGGGACGGCUAACUACGUG
rnacentral:rRNA from 1 species